AUGCCUAGCACCCGCCUGGUGCCGGCGGCAGGGGGAGCAAGGGGCGGUGGGGCUCUAGCACCCGCCGCCACAUCAAGCUCGGCGAGCUCCAGCUCCCUGGACAUGCCGCCGAUGUGCCGCUCUUUCACUGAAGGUGUUGAUGAAGUAGUAUGCUGUGUGGAGUACCACUUGGAGACAACUUCAGGCAGUAGAAAGACCAGGUUCUUAGGUGAAAUUUACAUUUACAUGCAAAGACGCUGGAAGUUGGUAUUACUAUACCUGAUUAAUCGCCGAAGUAAAAAAAAAAAUCAUCAUAGUUAA
rnacentral:rRNA from 1 species